rnacentral:tRNA from 1 species
AAAAAGGUAAGCUAACUUUAAGCUACUGGGUUCAUACCCCAUUUAUGGGAGAUAUCCCCCUUUUUA